AUACGUAGGUGGCAAGCGUUGUCCGGAUUUACUGGGCGUGGAGGGCGUGUAGGCGGAGAUGCAAGUCAGGAGUGAAAUCUAGGGGCUCAACCCCUAAACUGCUUUUGAAACUGUAUCCCUUGAGUAUCGGAGAGGCAGGCGGAAUUCCUAGUGGAGCGGUAAAAUGCGUAGAUAUUAGGAGGAACACCAGUGGGGAAGGCGGCCUGCUGGACGACAACUGCCGCGGAGGCGCGAAAGCGUGGGGGGCAAACAGGAUUAGAUACCCUGGUAGUCCACGCUGUAAACGAUGAAGACUAGUUGUGGGGGGACUGACCCCCUCCGUGCCGCAGUUAACACAAUAAGUAUUCCGCCUGGGGAGUACGAUCGCAAGAUUGAAACUCAAAGGAAUUGACGGGG
rnacentral:rRNA from 1 species